CAGCUGGUGUCGUGCCGUGCCGCACAGCGCUCCCUUUUGCUGGCGUCAUUGGUUGUGGUCGUGACUGUGUGGGUGCUGCUUGUGGUUGUCUGCUGGCAUCUGCUGGUGUGGCCUGCGCUGUGUCUGUUGCCUCCGUUGUCGGGCUCCUUGCUGCGGCCUUCGUUUCUGCCGGCCUUCUUUCCUGCCGUCGUGGCACUUCCGCUGUCGUCGCUGUUGUUGGGCUUCCGUCGCCGUUUUUGCUGUCGCGGCGGCUGUGACCUCACUGCCUUUGCCGUCGGGCUCCGCUUUCUGCUUCGUGUGGCUUGGCUUGCCUUGCUGCUUGUGGGGAGCCGUGGCCAGUCGUUGCUGGGCGGCGGUUCCCUUCCCGCUGUGGCCGCCGCGGCCUGUCCUUUCCGUCGUGGGCUGGUCCGUGCCUUUCGUCGCUGCGGCUGUUUGCUGCGUCUUCUGUUGUAGCUUCUGCUCCAUCACUGCUGUGGCUGCGUGGCUGCCGCCCCUUUGCUGUUGGACCCACCCUCUUGUCUUGUAAUUUUCUACAUUUGCCUGGCAUCUGGAGGAAGCGGGUGGACAGCCAGACCUGGUCUCCCGGCUGAAGGGGGGGGUCCUUCCUGUGCAGAACGGCGUUCAAGUGUUCCGUCUGGCCGUCUGUCUGGGGGUGAUGGGCGGAGGAGAGUUUUAAUUCCAUCUGCAGCUGUUUCCACAUUGCUCUCCAAAAAUUGGCUGUGAACUGAGUUCCUCGGUCCGAGACUACGCUGUUUGGCAAUCCAUGCAGCCGGUAGACUUCUUU